AAAUAUUUGUAUACUCUGUUAUAUAUAACUCUUUCUAAAGUUUUUAAAAAUGUGGAAAGAACAGAAAUAGGGUGAUAGUUACUAAUAAUUGAUUUGUCCCCUUCUUUGAAAAUAGGAACAAUUUUGGCAACUUUUAACAGUUCGGGGAAAACACCUUGAUGGAUAGAAGCUUUAAAAACUUAAAAAAGAACAACUUUUAGCUGUUCAAAACAAUCUAUAAUAACGUUUCCAUUUAUUUAGUUGAUCUGUAUUUAGCAAAAAAAAAAGUUGCAGCUUAGAAAAGCGGCAAUAAAGCAAGAAUGGUAUUUCAAAUAAGAAUGCUUGCAAAAGAGAGGAACUUGCUAAAAGAAAGGAAAUUCUUGCUGCUGAGAGCUUUUACUGCAAUCCGCUUCUUGAACGCUGCCAUCUGGCGCCUAAAGUGGAAACUCAGACCUCUUUGGCUUUUCUAGGAGUGAUUUUUUGGUUCAGUGCUGAAGCCACCCUGGGCCUAAAUUAAAGAGGCCUUCUGUAUAUGGGCCCAAAAUGGAGGUAAAGAUCUGCCUCAUUUUAAAUACAAACCUCCUGGUGGCCGAAGGGAUGGCAGAUAUUUCAGGAAUGGUGACGUUUUCAACAACUAUACAUAUACUUAUUAACAAGUGCAUGCAGAUUCACUUUUUAGUGAAUUUAUAUACACCUAAUGAUAGGUGUAUGUAUAGUCUAUAUGUAUAUAUUGAUGAUGUUUAUAUAUAGUUAUAUAAAUAUAUUGAUGAUGUUUAUAUAUAUUUGUAUAUAGUCUUUUUGUAUAUUAAGUUUUGUAUAUAGUUAUGAGUUUGUUUUUUUUAAUGUAAAAUUUGUGUUUAUAUAAAUAUUAUUUAUUAUUACAAAAAGAUAUUGUUUGAGUUUCAA